rnacentral:rRNA from 1 species
CAGUCGCCGCGGUAAAACGUAGGGUGCAAGCGUUAAUCGGAAUUACUGGGCGUAAAGCGGGCGCAGACGGUUACUUAAGCAGGAUGUGAAAUCCCCGGGCUCAACCUGGGAACUGCGUUCUGAACUGGGUGACUAGAGUGUGUCAGAGGGAGGUAGAAUUCCACGUGUAGCAGUGAAAUGCGUAGAGAUGUGGAGGAAUACCGAUGGCGAAGGCAGCCUCCUGGGAUAACACUGACGUUCAUGCCCGAAAGCGUGGGUAGCAAACAGGAUUAGAUACCCCAGUAGUCCCUGUCUCUUAUAC